AUCCUUUUGUAGUUCAUAAGCAUGACAAUUGGCUUUUCACUUUGAUCUGUGAGAUGUGCCUAACUCAAACCUUGUUGGCUGGGCACGGUGGCUCAAGCCUGUAAUC